GACGAACGCUGGCGGCGUGCCUAAUACAUGCAAGUCGAGCGGACAGAUGGGAGCUUGCUCCCUGAUGUUAGCGGCGGACGGGUGAGUAACACGUGGGUAACCUGCCUGUAAGACGGGGAUAACUCCGGGAAACCGGGGCUAAUACCGGAUGGUUGUGUGAACCGCACGGCUCAAACAGAAAAGGUGGCUUCGGCUACCACUGACAGAUGGACCAGCGGCGCAAGAGCUAGUUGGUGAGGUAACGUCUCACCAAGGCAACGAUGCGUAGCCGACCUGAGAGGGUGAUCGGCCACACUGGGACUGAGACACGGCCCAGACUCCUACGGGAGGCAGCAGUAGGGAAUCUUCCGCAAUGGACGAAAGUCUGACGGAGCAACGCCGCGUGAGUGAUGAAGGUUUUCGGAUCGUAAAGCUCUGUUGAUAGGGAAGAACAAGUACCGUUCAAAUAGGGCGGUACCUUGAAGGUACCUAACCAGAAAGCCACGGCUAACUACGUGCCAGCCGCCGCCGUAA
rnacentral:rRNA from 1 species